ensembl:misc_RNA Metazoa_SRP Metazoan signal recognition particle RNA
GUUGGGUGUGGUGGCAUAUGUCUGUAAUCUUUGCACCUGGGAGACUGAGGCUGCUGGACUACUUGAGUCGGGGUUUCCAGUGCCAUAGCAAACGGGAGCCCUGGUGACGGUCAGCAUCGACAUGGUGCUUCUUGGAGAGCCUUGGUGCCCCAGGUAAUCUAGGGAGGGGUUAACCAACCCAGGCUGGUGACAGAGCAGGUGAAAGCCCCCGUGCUGAACGGUCUGUGGGUUGCCCCUGUGAGUAGCGGCUGCGGUGCUGCCAAGGUGAAAGGUGGCUUAAC